UACUAUAGGAUAUAUGGGUCGAAAAUUCAGUGGGCCGUCUCCUAAAUAUAAAAAAUGAAAAAAUGGGAACUGGUUGAUGGAUAUGGAUGAAACUUUGCAUCAGUGUUGUGUUUUUGAAUAGAAGUCAGGAAAAUAAAGGAUAACUGACAGACUGUGCAGUUACCAAAGCCUAGGUUUGAGUACAGGACCUUACCUUAUCCUGGUAAAGAUCUAUGAAAGGACUCCUUCAGCUCAGUUUGGCAGCAGCUUUGUCAGGACACAUUGAGAAGGAUUUCAUUUCUGGGUGGAAGGUUUCAGGAGGCACUAUGCACAAGAAUACACACCAGUUACUAUUUGGAAUAAUCUAUAGUGAUUACAGAAAUUAAAAGCUGCAGAAAAACUCCAAGGGCUAAUGUAUUAUUUUUUGGUGCUAAAUUUACUUGGACUGCAUUGGUGUUUAAAGAAAUGGUCAUGAAGUUUCGGUACCGGAUUUGCUUUGUCAAGAAUUUAGCCUUAAAUGUGAUGGAUUUACUAUAGGAUAUAUGGGUCGAAAAUUCAGUGGGCCGUCUCC